ACGGCUCAGUAACACGUGGACAACCUGCCCUCGGGUGGGGGAUAACCCCGGGAAACUGGGGCUAAUCCCCCAUAGGGGAUGGGUACUGGAAUGUCCCAUCUCCGAAAGCGCUUAGCGCCCGAGGAUGGGUCUGCGGCGGAUUAGGUUGUUGGUGGGGUAACGGCCCACCAAGCCGAAGAUCCGUACGGGCCAUGAGAGUGGGAGCCCGGAGAUGGACCCUGAGACACGGGUCCAGGCCCUACGGGGCGCAGCAGGCGCGAAACCUCCGCAAUGCGGGAAACCGCGACGGGGUCAGCCGGAGUGCUCGCGCAUCGCGCGGGCUGUCGGGGUGCCUAAAAAGCACCCCAUAGCAAGGGCCGGGCAAGGCCGGUGGCAGCCGCCGCGGUAAUACCGGCGGCCCGAGUGGCGGCCACUUUUAUUGGGCCUAAAGCGUCCGUAGCCGGGCUGGUAAGUCCUCCGGGAAAUCUGGUCGCUUAACGAUCAGACUGCCGGAGGAUACUGCCAGCCUAGGGACCGGGAGAGGCUGGGGGUAUUCCCGGGGUAGGGGUGAAAUCCUGUAAUCCCGGGAGGACCACCUGUGGCGAAGGCGCCCGGCUGGAACGGGUCCGACGGUGAGGGACGAAGGCCAGGGGAGCGAACCGGAUUAGAUACCCGGGUAGUCCUGGCUGUAAACGAUGCGGACUAGGUGUCACCGAAGCUACGAGCUUCGGUGGUGCCGGAGGGAAGCCGUUAAGUCCGCCGCCUGGGGGAGUACGGCCGCAAGGCUGAAACUUAAAGGAAUUGGCCGGGGGAG
rnacentral:rRNA from 1 species